rnacentral:lncRNA from 1 species
CCCGUGGCAUAUGGAAAUUCCCAGGAGAGGGGUCGAAUUAGAGCUAUAGCUAUGUCUGCAACCUACACCACAGCUUGAGGCAACACCAGAUUCUUAACCCAUUCAGCAGGGCCAGGGAUGGAAGCCACAUCUUCAAGGAUACUAGUCAGAUUCGUUAAUGCUGAGCCACCCAUGGGAACUCCCAGAUCUUUGUUUCUUUAAACCUGUGUCCUUACAAUUUCAAAAGCCAUCUUCACAAUCUUUGCUUUUCUCUUUUCCUGCCAAUUUCCUCAUUCUUGGCAGUAUCAUUGCUACUUGUCCACUUUCUACUGUCUUCUCAAUGUUUAUCCAUGUGCAUGUGUCUUGCCUCUUGUGCCUACAUGUGUGCCUCUCACUUGCAGAGACAGGAUCAGAAGAUGUUACGGAAGUAAGGUGAGGGUGUUACGAUGUCAGGUGUGGGAGUUAUAAAGUCAAAGCCAUUCACUCAGUCAAUACAUCACCAGAUGAUGGAUUUAUUUAGCUCAUCAUACCAGUUUCCUAGGGCAGUUGUAACAAAUUACCACAAGCUAAGGACCUUGAAACAAUGGAAAUCUAUUUUCUCACAGUUCUGAAAGCCAAAAGUCCAAAACCAAGGCAUUAACUAGGUUCCAAAGGAUCUAGGGGAUGAGGAUUUGCAUCUUCCAACUUCUGGUGACUGCUGGAAAUUCUGAUAUCCUUUGGUUUUACAGGUAACAUUCCAAUCUCUGCUUCCUUCUUCACAAGCCUUUCUUUGUCUUCUUUUUGUCUUUUACAGAAGUACUUGUCAUUGGAUUUAGGGCCCACCCUAAUCUAAAAUAAUCCCAUUUUGAAAUCCUUAUCCUAACAGCAAAUGGAGUUCCUGUUGUGGCUCAGCCAAGACUAAUCUGACUAGCAUCCAUGAGGAUACAGUUUCAAUCCCUGGCCUCACUUGGUGGGUUAAAGAUCUGGCAUUGCAGUGAGCUGUGGCAUAGGCUGGCAGCUACAGCUCCGAUUAGGACCCUAGCCUGGGAAUCUAUAUACUGCGAGUGCAGUCCUAAAUAAAAAGACCCUUAUUCCAAAUAAGGUUACAUUUUGAGGGUCCGUGUCUUUUGGAGGGGUCACCAUUCAAUUUGCUAUACCUAUUUAUAGACUUUCAACUUAAUUGACUAAAAUAUACUAAUACUCGUAAAAUAUACUAAUACUCGUCACUCGUUUUUUUAUAUUAACAAGUAAUAUAUAUUUUACUUGGCAAUGAUACAUACUCUAAGACUAACCACAAGUAUAAAAAUCUGGCUAAUGAUAUGGAAAUCAAAACACUAUCUUUCCUAUUGUGGCACAGUGGAAACAAAUCUGACUAGGAACCAUGAGGUUGUGGGUUCAAUCCCUGGUCUCGCUCAGUGUGUUAAGGAUCUGGUGUUGCCGUGAGCUAUGGUGUAAGUCACAGUCAUGGCUCCGAUCUGGCGUUGCUGUGGCUGUGGUGUAGGCCAGCAGCUGUAGCUCUGAUUCAAUCCCUAGCCUGGGAACCUCCAUAUGAUGUGGGUGUGGCCCUAACAAGAAAAAAAAGGGGGGGGUCAUAUUAAGGUAAAUAAUAAUGACCUUAUCAAAGGAUAAUUAAUACGCACAAAAUAGUGGAGGUCUGUUCAUAUCUAUAGGCAACAAAUAUAAACAGAUCCUCCCUUUUUCAAUUAAAGAUCAGCAUAAAACUAAUACACACAUUCAUAGGGCAAAAGCUCAAUAAAAGCUGACAGUGCUAAUAAAACAACAGGACAUAUGAAAAACGUGGGAAACAUGUUAGAACGCAGAUUUUAGUGUAGUAGGUCAGUGGUAGGUCAUGAGAUUUUGUAUUCUAUCAAGCUUUCAGGUAAUGACCCCACACUUUGAAUAUAAGCAUGGUUGUAGAGAAUCAAGCUAUUCCAACAGGGCUAAAAAAUAAUAAUAAUGUCACACAGGCUACAGAUUACAAGGCUUGUAGUCAUUCAGCAGAUAUUCAUUGGUCUCCUAUUCUGUACCAGUCACUGUGGAAAAUACAAAGAUAAAUGAAAUCUAAUUCAUAAUCUCAAGAGUCUCUCAGCUAAUUGUGGAUUUUUUAAAAAAAAAUUGACAUCUAACCUUCUGUUUCAAAUACUGUUAGGGAAAUAACAGAAAUAAGAAAUUUUAUAAAUAGGCAAAACAUUAAUCUAUAUUUAAGCAAAUUUUCUAAAAAUUGAUGUAAUUGGUCUCUAUUCCAAAAGAUACAACUUUUCCACAAUGAAGGCGGUAUCUUACCUGUGGACUGUUCUCAGGGAGGUGCCAUGACAAUACAAUUCUUGCUAGGAUUGGGGACCAAUAAUCAGAAUGGUACUGUGAGGUCUAGACUGGAAGCAGAUGCAGUGAUGGUCAGGGAUAACUCAUAAAAAGGUAAUAAAAGAUAUACAGAAGAAAGCAUGUAAUUUUCAGAAAAAUCGAUUGAUUCUUAUUUUUGAAUUUAGUUCUACACAUCACUAAAGAGAUGCACUAGAGAAUGAUGGUCCUGGGUGCUGAAGUCUAAAUGGAUGUAAUUGUUUCUUUUUUCAUGUAGGCUUGAGUUAAGGUGGGGAAUUCAUGGGCAGGCAGCAGCUAAGGCAAUUGGUUUAUAACUGUCGUUGAGUUGGUUUUUAAUGAGAAUCCACCAGAGACUAUCUGAUCAUGACAGUGGUCUAGAUAUUUGCACAUAUAUAUAUGUGUGUGGUGUGUGUGUGUGUGUGUGUAUAUAUAUGUGUGUGUGUGUAUAUAUAUAUAUACGUACACACGUAUAUAUAGCAUUACAUAUACAUGUGUGUAUACAAAAUACAUUAUCAGGAGGAUUUUUAGAGUGCUGGAAACUUGCCCUUCGAGGAACCUGUUCAUGCUCCCUCUGCUAUGGAAGGUAGCAGUGACCUUCUGAUCUUCUUGGCCUAAAGACUCAAAGCAAAAUUAAGCUUGCAACAUCACAAACAUGGCCCAUUCUCAGUGACCAAUUACGAAAAUAUGACUGUUCACAUUUAAACUUAUUUUGAUCAGGAACACUCAAGACUACAGAAUAUUCAGUUUCUACAUUAGACAUGAAUUUUUACCAAUUAGUGGACUGAGGGUUCUGAAGCCAACCUGCCACCAUGGCAUAGAUAAGGAUGGCAAAUGGCUAUUUUAACUGCCAUCACCAAAUUUCACUGCAUAAAGACUACAUUAUGUCUUCAAAAAGUUUAACUGUACCUCAUCAUCCCCAAAGCAGACAUAGUGGAUGAGAUGUUUAGUUUUGCUUUCUACAUUGAUCAAACAAGCUAGCUGUCAAAUAUACACUGCAGGAUUGUAUGUAGAGCUCUACUGCCUAAAUCAUUCAUUAUCAACCUAUGGAGCUUUAUUUUCCUCCUUAAAGGCCUACUCAGACCAGUUUAUUACAGCACAUAUGGGGUCUAUUUUUAGACCCAGAAUGCUUUUUAUAGUUCCUGCAUUUGGGGAAAUAGGAAAGACGCAACCAGAGACAACACACUGCUUUCUGUUCUCCUGUCACCAGGCAUGCCAUGACUCGCUUUAGCAUAGAAAGGGGAGCAUUGUGCUUGCAUACAGAGUUUUCUUUUGGGGUGACAGUAUCUAGCCUGUGGUUCUUAUAGAACAUAUGCCCUACUUUUCACAAAUCAGCAAAGGGGCACAGAUGGUUUCAUCAGUCCAAAAUGUUACCAAGAUUCCUUCAAGUUUCUACAAGUUUCAUAUACAGGUGAUAGAAGACACAGGAGAAGAGACACCAAGGAUCCCGGAGCACUGGGUUGGACCCUGAGAACAAGGAGUGGUCUUAGGUCUGAGGGUCUUACAGUCUUAUGGUGGCAUAUUGGAAAGGGUGUAAUUCUCACUCUGAACUACUCUUGGCAAAAUAAGAUGUGCUGUUUGGCGUCUUACAAGUUGAUUCUCCUGAUUCCUUUCUCCUACAGACACGAACAUUGAAAAAACUUGAGGAAAAGCCAAGUGCAGUAACUCUAAUGUACCACCAGGUGACAGUGUUUCUAAAAUUAAUCUAUGAUUCUAGUGCACCCAAGCUUGUUUUGGUAGCGGAACCACAUUUUAAGACAGGUGAAUGAACAAUCACAUAAUUGUUUUUAAACAAUAAAUCAAACCAGGUACUGAACUUCUUUUAUUAAUUACAGUUAUUCCAACGUGAUAAGACCACACACUCAAGGGACAGCAGUGGGAGGUUAAUCUUGGGCUGAAUAGGCCAGAAGGAGUGAGUAAGUAGUUUGAAAAGCUGAUGUUCAGCUAUCCCUCUGAAGCUUAGGAUCCACUAGAUUGAACUAGAACACGUAAAAAAUGUAAUCCAUGUUUGUUAAAUAAUGGCAUCAACACACUACAACCUGAGACCUUAAAGCAGUAGGUAAUCAAUUAAUGGCAUCCAAAGCUCAUGUAAUUUUGUCUAAAAGACACAUCUGGUCUCAAGGGUUUGCUCUAACCAAUAUGGAUAAAAUGAGUAUUUGGGAUUCAUUUGCCGAAAUGGUCAUAAUUUUCAGGAAGUGAACCUAUAGAGAGGAAAUAUUUAAAGUAACCCAAAUACAGUGGGGACUUCUGGCUAUCAGAAAGGAGAAUAGGAAUAAAAAGGAGAAGGAAGAGAAAUGAUCAGUGGUUUUCACUAUAGGCUUGGUGUGUGAUAACUAAAAAAAAACUUACCUUGGCCUAAAUGGAAAGAGUCAUAAAAAUAAAACUCUGUGGAGUUGGUUCAAGCAGUCAGCUUCCCCCACACCCAGGAGCACGCCAGUGCCUACUGUCAGAGCUGAUGGCUUCAGUUCCACUCAUUUCUGCUAAAGUGCCUAUAAUACACUGACUGCCAAGGUGACUGAGAUUCUAUUUACUGUUUAUUUGAAACAAUAUUUACUUUAUAUUAAAACUUAUUUACAGUAAGUAGCAGAGCUGUGAUGUACAUCUAGGUUCUGGAUUAUAAACAGAGUCCUCCCCCCCUAUUACAUACCAUUCAACUGCUGUCCAUUACUUCCAUUUUGGGGCAGCUUGAAGAGAGAUGAAUAGAAAGGGAUGGGGGGGAGGUGAGAAGACAUGGAGAGAAGGAUGUCUCACAGAGGUGUGUAUUAGUACAGAAGGGUGGAAACAGAAUAAUAUCUGGAAAAAGAAGAAGCACGCUCUCAGCCUUCUAUUUCACUUUCCCUCCUCCUGUAAUAUCUGCCACACUCUCCCAUCCUCAUUAUGACUUCUAUACGCUCCUUUUCGCAUUACUACUUCCCCAAAUCCCAAGUUAAAUUACAGAACAAGGUAGGAAAAGAAAUGACUCCUUAACACUGCUGAGUGACUACAGCAAUUUGCACCUCCCAUGGGAGUCCUCAUGUGGUCAGCCUAGUCUACAUACCGUAAAAAGGGACACUAAAGCCCAAGGAAGCACCUUUUGUUUUACGUCAGGUUCCCCAGAAAACAGUCUCUGUAACUGAGAUUUGCUUGCAAAAGCUCUGGAGCUAGAAUGGCCUUUCAGAGUUGCUUAGCCUUUAGGCAAAGGAAACUUGAUACUCCUUAUCAACCGGUCAUUAACAUGAACUGUCCUCAGGGAGAAGACCUGGUAUGGCAAGUGGCUGCCUUUGGUUGAAAGGAAUUCCCAGAGAGGGAAUCAGUUGAGAGUCAUACAGCACCAAUACUCACAGCAACUCGGAAUGAGUUUCUUGUCUGGGAAAGGGGAUCUGAGCAGCACAUAUACAACAUUCAUUACUAAAGCUGGGAUUCCCUCAGCUAGGCAAAUCAUGCUCAUGACUAUAGCAGCAAGUGAAUUGGUUCAUUAUGACGGAAUGAAUUCUUUGGGAGUCAAACACAUAUAACAUGGGUACUAAUGAUGUGGGAAUUCAGUGCCUUUAUUCCAGACAUUUGGAAGAUGCUAAUCUCAGACUAUACAAGAGAUUAAUUGUACACUUGCCUAUGGCAAAUCAUAAGUUUGCAUGGGAUAUUUGGCGGGUGUGUUCUACUUAUGAAAACCUGGAAAGUAGAUGAAGUUUUUAAGUUCAUAAAAUUAAACCAAAAGGACAUCGUGUCUAACCUCUCAUGUAAUGCUUUUGUGCCCUCUGCCACAUCCUAAGUGACCAUCCAGUCUGUUUGUGUGCACUUCAAAGACAAAAAGGCAUAAUCUCCAGCAAUAAGCUGUUCCCUGUUCUGAAUAGACCUGAAUGCUACAAGUUCAGUUCAGCAUAAAGACAGAUUAUCUGUUCAUCUAUAAGUUCCAAAAGUUGGUCUAAUUCUGUCUUUUGGGAGUUAAUUCUUCUUUUACACUCUAAGGGAUACUUCAGAUGUUUAAAGACGGAUCAUGACCCUUCUAAAAUAAAGUCA